AGCCCCUCCCUGGACUCCUCUGCUUGCCCUGCUGACGGGCUCAGAAGCUUGGCUGAAGACGGGGUAUCAGCUAACGACUGUCGUCAGAUGCAAGCAGAGGAAACUCACCCGCCCGCAACGUGGAGAUGGGUGGUCCUUCCACCUAAGUCAGGGGGGGUUCUUCACUCUCACGCUUGCAACAUGGCUCCUCUUCCCCCGGAGCCACGGCCCCUUCCCAGUAGACUUCCACUCGCUCGGCAUUGGCCAGGCCGGUCAUGUGACCACCCCUGACUGCAGGGCAUUCUGGGAAGGUGAGUCUUUGUGACCGGGCAGUUGCUUCCGUGAUGGACACAGGGCAGGGGCUUCACGGUGCCUACCACAGACGGAGUUUGUGUUUCUGUCCCUCCUUGUCUUGUGUGUGACUUGCGUCUGCCAAUCAAGCUAAAACCCUUUUGCUGUGCCUCAGGAUGGGGGAGGUGAGAUCCGAAGCGCCCGGCUCGGCCUCCAAGAGGAGCAGCUUCUGCAGAGAUGCCAGGGAGGGCUGAGGCGGCGGCGGCGGCGACGGCGGCGGAGGAGGAAAGGCUGCCUGUGCCCAAAUCCCCUUCCAUGGACUUCUGAGAUUGGGAGCAAACUCAGGGGCAGGGACGGGGGUACAGGGGAGGGGGUUCUGAGCCGCCCGUCCACAAGCAAUAGUCCUAUUUUGGGCCGGUGGCUUCUGGGAGCUGACUCACUGUGAACUUGGGAUGACCAACACAAAGCUGCUCUGGCCGGUCUGAGCCAGGAAGAUCUAGGCCUGUGAGUCAUAGCCGUGGGUCAAAGCCUGGAGCUUCCCUUCCCUCCGCCCCGCCCGUAGUGGCCCCUCGGGCCUGUCCGUGUCGGAAUAUUGAAUGUGCGUGUGUGUGUGUGUGUGCGCACGUGUGCGUGUGUGACUUCGGGUGUUCUUGUUUGGUUGGUUGGUUUUUACUGGGGUCCUCCCCAAGUUCUCUGACGAACACAGGUCACCGUGGGGCUGGGGGUUCUUGCCAGGGCCGGUGCCCAGGGCCCGAGCCUCUCGCUGCUGCCGGCAGCCGCGACCCAGGCGGGGUUGGCUGAGCACAGGGUACAGCCCCGCUGCGUCUCGGGGGCACUGGGGGUUCGGGGAUGCCGGUCGGGGCUGGGUCUUACGGAAUUCGCUCCCGUCAACAGCAGUAACAAUGAGCGAUGACAAGGGACACGUCUCAGGCCGGCCGCGGCCCCGGGCUGGACGAUCUCACGCACACCCUUUCUCACCGCCUGGGAAGUGGGUGUGAUCCGCCCCUGCAGAAAUAGCUCACAGAGGGGAGCAAGGCCCACGGCCACACAGCCGGGGGAGGCAGGCUCGCCUGAGGGUGCAGGAACCAAAGGCCCAGGCUCCCACUCCCUGGACGCGACGUGCUCCCCGGCCAGGCCACACCCAGCACGGCCCCCGGAGCACCCCCCAUGCCUUCUCAAGGGCGGGCCCCGGGCUCCCCACCUUCACUGCCGGAACCCUCGCCCGCCCCGCACACUCUGGCUGAGCUUCACCUGCUGCGCCAGGUGCCGUGCUGGGCGGUGAGUGACGGGGGCGAGAGAUGAGCCAGACCUGGCCUCUGCCCCCGGGGAGCUCCCCACCGGGUGGGAGAGACAAACACAUGAGUCGUUGCCAGGAAGGCUGAUGAAACCCAGAGGAGGGGAAGGUUCUAGAAAUCCAUCCGCUUUGAGGUGGGACUUCCAGGUAAACCUGGGCGCCCGUAAGAUCCGCCCACGGAGCUCACCGCCUCUUCCGCCCGCCUGCUGCCCCGGGGCGCACGGGAGGACAUCACCUACAAGACCCCCGCGUAAGUCCCCGAGGGCCACGCUGCCAGCCCACACACGCCACCCUGCUAGCGUCAGUGGUACCAGAAUCUCCCACCGCCCGUAGCCUGGGGGCCCGUCCCCUCUGACCCUGUACCCUCCCGCAGUCAGACCCAGCGUUCCCGCACAGUCUGUCCACCCACGCACGAGGCGCCGCGGAGAGCCAGGCCGGCCCUGCUCCUGGUGCGGCCUUGCAUCUGGGGAGGGGGCGGAGGAGGAAGGCGGUGAGCGCUCUGCCGCCGCGGUGCCGAGGUAGUGAGGGCCUGCGGAGCGGGCUGGUCUGGGAAGCCCUUCUGAGCGGUGAUAGUUAAGCCCAGGUCUACGCAGCAAGCAGGAGCCAGCCAGGGUGUCACAGCAGGGAGGAGAGCGCCCCAGGUGGAGGAACGGCCCGUGCAAAGGCCCUGAGGCAGCAACGGGCUUGGUGGUCUCAAAGGCCCAGAGGCAGAGCAGAAGGAGGCGACAGUGAGUCACCGUCAUGCUGAGCAAAUACAGGGCCACCUCUGAAAAGCAGAGCAAACUUUCAGGGACGCAAAGCAUGUUCCAUGCCUCCUGGCUUUGCAACAGCCCCGUAGAGAAAGACUCUCCCAUUUUACAGACUAGGGGACUGAGGCUCAGCUGGGUCAAGUGGCUCGCCCAAGGUCACACUGAAGGUCACACAGGCUGGCUAUGGAAGACCCGCGUGGCUUCAGUCUUUGGUCCCAGCAUCUCCUCUGUGUAGACAGCACUGGUGGAGUCAAAGCAGGAGAUGUUUGCUCAGGGUCGUGACCAGGUGUAGACGUGGUGUCCUUCCCUUGGAUACCAGGUCCUCCCAGGACAUGCCAGGGCCUUGUUGCCACGGGCAUGCCCAGCUGGCCAGUGAGCCCCGCUGGAUCAGCCCGUGCCUGCAGCCCACACGCAGGCCUCAGGAGUCAGAGGAAGCCCAGGGCAGGGGCACGAGACCCAGGUUCCGACACCAGUUCUGCCAUCAGGAGCAGGUUGACCUCGGGCAAGGCCGUGCCCUCAGCGCCACCCUUUCCCCCAUCAGUAAGGGGAAGGAGCCAGGUCAGGACUUUAAGGGCUUGCAGCCCUGGCGUCCUGACACUCUGGGGGCUCACACAGCUGCUCACAGAGAGGUGUCCCCGCUCCAGAGAAGGAGCUGUGGCCAAGUGACAAUUAGGGCUGGGAGUCUCCUGAUUUGCAUCCCCUGAGAGUUGCCACCUUAGGGAGGACACUCCUCCCAGCCCCGCAGGCCUUUUCAGGAAUAGAUGAAAAUUCUCAUGGUCUGUUGUCCUGCUGCUCUGCCGGCUCCCUGUCGGGGGCUGGGCCAGGGACUGGAAGGUUCUGCGGUGGGCAGGAGGCCUCACAUCCGUGUGGCUCGGCGGAGAUCGCAGGGGACCGAGCAGGCAGCCUGUGGCGAAGGCAGGUCCAGAGACGGGGCCCCGGCACCGCCCCUUCCAGCGGGGUGACCUCGAAGGUACCCUGGCCCCUCGGCCUUGUUUCUCACCCGGCGAGUGUGCAGGCGGGUGCUGGGUGGUCACAGCCCUGGCCGUGUCCGGGGCUGGCGCGGCGUGCAGAGCAGGCGUGUGCAGUCCAGUCCCUUGGUGGCGUCAGGGCUCCUCGAAACCCCCAGGAUCCCAGGUCUUCACAGGGAAACCCUGCCCCCGCCCCGCGUGGCUGCCGGCGAGCAGAGCGCCCCUAGAGCAAGAUGCAGGGUAGUGGCGAAUGCAAGUACAGAUUUAUAGAGUUGUUUUUUUUAGUGACUCCCAAAUCUAAUUUUUUAAGCCGCCUACUUUUACUUUUUACUGUGAGCUUGUGUCUAUCACUACAUAAUUUUUAAUAAUAAUAACACAAAAAGGAAAACAAAAAGAAGAGAGAGAAGGUAGCAGCACUCCGUGUUGGGGAGGAAUGUGUAUCCCAUGCUGGUGCGUGGCUACCACGUGUGUACGGAUGUUUCCCACUGGGAACGGCGUGAUUACCGAGCAGUUUUAUGCUUCCCGCGUGUCUGUGUGUGGGGUGACUGCCGUGUGCGUGGGAGCUCUCGCCAGGGUCAGGAGCUGGGAGGACCUGCGGCCUCGGCCUCUGGGACUGCCCGGGCCCUAGAGAAGCGGCCUGCCCACCCGCCCCGCCGGGACCCUCCAGCCACCAGGCCAGCACCUGCCCGUGACCACUGCCAAUGUGCAACAGGCCUUAAUUGAAAACACGCAUGCACACACAUGCACACACACAUUUGAGCACAUGUACGCACAUAUACAGCUGCACGCAUGCAUAUACUCGUGUGCGUGCACAAGUGCACGGACAUGCCCACCCCCACACACAAACAUGCAUACAUGCACACACAUGUGCACAGUGCAACCACACACACAUGCGCACAUACAUGUGAUUUUGCAGGUAGAUCUGGCCCCUCUUGCUGUCUCCCAUGCUCCAGAAAGCAGAAGUAGGCAGCACACAGUGUUCUUCAGCGGGUGGCAUUUCCCCUCAGUGUCAGAAAAAGUCGGGCACAUUUGGCCCCAGGUCUGAAAAGAAGGGCUUGCCCGCAGAAGCCGGGUCCGGCUCCAGCCCUUUCGUCCCCACAGCCACUGCCCCCGCCCAGGCCCCUCCCCCGGCACGCUGGCUCGCUGUCUGCUAGAGGGCCAGCCACACAAGAAGACAAGGGUCCCGGAGGUGCAGACCUUUACAUUUUUCACCGGCUUAUUUUAAUUUUUCAACUUGGCUAACUGGUCCCCACUGGCAGGAAGAGCCUCUGGAAGUGAAUUUGCACGCGCCCCCAACAAUCCAGACCGACAGGCAGCCCGAGUGGCGUCACCGGGGGCCUCUCUGGCAAAUAGUGAAUAAGCACGUCACCACGGGGAGAUGCCACGUGGCCCCUCUCUCGUCUGCUGCGAAGAUCGGGGGCUGCACGGGGAGAGCAAACCGCGGGGAGUCUCAAUCCUGCCCCCCACCCGGCCACAGCCCGAGGGGCAGUGAGUGGUCAUGCCCCUGCGGUCCCGGAUACGUGUGUCGCUGGGCCGGGUUGUGCCCUGCGCCCUCCGGAAGACAGCCCGGCACUUACGCUGUGCGGGCGCCACGCGGGCCCCAGUCCCUGCGUGUAGUGCAGACACGUGACGAGACGUGGCCGUGAAUGUCACAGCCCUGGGGGCCAUGGUCUGAGAACGCAGCUGCUGAAGUUGGACAGUCAGGUGAGCUAGAAAGGUCAGGGCCACGCUAGAAAGUCUGUACCGUCUUGAAGGUGUCACUCACCUGCAUGACAGGUGUCUGCCGGGCACCUGCCGUGGCCUGGCUCCGUGCCCGGUGCCCGUGUGGGAGCCAUCCCCACUGGAGUCAGGUCUCCUGUGAAAUGCCUAGUUGUGCCCAGCAAUCCCCAGUGCUCAGAGCCGCAAAAUGAAUAGGGAACGCCGGCCUAUGCCACCCACGGACGUGAUCUCGGAGGCGGCGUUGCUCCAGCCCGCCCAGUUUCCAGUCCAGACCCUGCCCGACAGCUGGUGCUAGAUAGAUGCUUGUUGAGUGAACGCUUUGUCCCUCUGUACCUAAAACUCCUGUCUUCACAUCAAAGCCCUGCCCAACUUGCCCUCAACAGCCUGAACUUCAGGGCUGCUGCAGUGCCCACCUCGCGGAGGCACCCCUCGAAACACUGUCACGUGAGGGGGAACGGGCUACAGGGACCCACUCACAUGGACCACGCUGAGCACGGCGACCCCCGGCUUUGCGCAGUGAGGCGCCUGCCGGAUUGCGCCAGACCAUCCUCCAGAACGUGCAGGGUCCCCUUGCCGUCAGAGCCGAACCCGAGCCUGGGACCAAAAACUACGGAUUGCACGGCCGCCCUGGGCACCCAGUGUGGCCUCAGCUGGAGCCGUGCUGGCGGCCCCAGGGCGCCUCUCGUUGGCAUGGCAGCCCCGCUUCCCACGCCCGGUCUCCUGUUUGCUCCCGCGUCUGAGAGCCAGUGGGCGUGGCAGUCACAGCCAACCAGGCAGCACUGGGGGUGCGUGGAGACGGCAAGGGCGAGGGGCUCAGCCACCUUAGCGAGGUGGGAAACGGCCUGCAAAAGCCAGUGUGUCCUCCCCAGGGUCAGCCGGACGGGCCGCGGCCACGAGGGCAGAAACUCUCUCUCCCUGAAUCCGACUUCACGAGAGCAGGCGUGGGGUCUGAGCUGGCGAGCGGGAAAACCAAAAACCAAUAAUACUCCCAAUAUUAUAACGAUACGAUGUAACGAUAAUGUGCUCUACACUGACCACUGUUGCUCCGCUUCUGUCUUUAUACACAGUAGUUUUUAUAAAGAUGUCCUUAGGUUUUAAUAAAGGAGUGUCAUGUCAACUGUUC